rnacentral:rRNA from 1 species
UACGAAGGUGGCAAGCGUUGUUCGGAUUUACUGGGCGUACAGGGAGCGUAGGCGGUUGGAUAAGCCCUCCGUGAAAUCUCCAGGCUUAACCUGGAAAGUGCAGAGGGGACUGUUCAGCUAGAGGAUGGGAGAGGAGCGCGGAAUUCCCGGUGUAGCGGUGAAAUGCGUAGAGAUCGGGAGGAACACCGGUGGCGAAGGCGGCGACCUGGGUAGAUACUGACGCUGAGGCGCGAAAGCGUGGGGAGCAAACAGG